rnacentral:rRNA from 1 species
AUAUCAAUAAGCGGAGGAAAAGAAACCAACAGGGAUUGCCUUAGUAACGGCGAGUGAAGCGGCAAAAGCUCAAAUUUGAAAUCUAGCACUUUCAGUGUUCGAGUUGUAAUUUGAAGAAGGUAACUUUCGAGUUGGCUCUUGUCUAUGUUCCUUGGAACAGGACGUCACAGAGGGUGAGAAUCCCGUGCGAUGAGAUGCCCAAUUCUUAGUAAAGUGCUUUCGAAGAGUCGAGUUGUUUGGGAAUGCAGCUCUAAGUGGGUGGUAAAUUCCAUCUAAAGCUAAAUAUUGGCGAGAGACCGAUAGCGAACAAGUACAGUGAUGGAAAGAUGAAAAGAACUUUGAAAAGAGAGUGAAAAAGUACGUGAAAUUGUUGAAAGGGAAGGGCUUGAGAUCAGACUUGGAAUUUUGUGUGCCUAACCUUUUUGGUUUGGUUUUUGCAGCUUUCCGGGCCAGCAUCGGUUUGGGUGGUAGGAUAAUGACAUUGGAAUGUAGCUUCGCUUCGGUGAAGUGUUAUAGACUUUGUUGAUACUAUCUAUCUAGACCGAGGACUGCGUCUUUGACUAGGAUGCUGGCGUAAUG